rnacentral:rRNA from 1 species
UACGGAGGGAGCUAGCGUUGUUCGGAAUUACUGGGCGUAAAGCGCGCGUAGGCGGCUUUGUAAGUUAGAGGUGAAAGCCCGGGGCUCAACCCCGGAACUGCCUUUAAAACUGCAUCGCUUGAAUCCGGGAGAGGUGAGUGGAAUUCCGAGUGUAGAGGUGAAAUUCGUAAGAUAUUCGGAAGAACACCAGUGGCGAAGGCGGCUCACUGGACCGGGCAUUG